rnacentral:lncRNA from 10 species
CCCUCCUUCCUUCCUUCCUUCCUUUUCCUUCCUUCCUUCCUUCUUUCUUUCUUUCUUCUUUCACUUUUUUUUCACAGAGUCUCACUCUGUCUCCUAGGCUGGAGUGCAGUGGCACGAUCUCGGCUUACUGCAACGUCUGCCUCCCAGGUUCAAACGAUUCUCCUGCCUCAGCCUCCUGAGUAGCUGGGACUAUAGGCACACGCCACCAUGCACGGCUAAUUUUUGUAUUUUUAGUAGAGACAGGGUUUCACCAUGUUGGCCAGGAUGGUCUUGAUCUCCUGAGCUCGUGAUCAACCGGCCUCAGCCUCCCAAAGUGCUGGGAUUAUUAUUUCCUUUCUUUUAGUUGAAUUGGGUUUAUUUUAAGUUUCUUUUUCUAGACUCUUGAGGUAGGAGCUUAGAUAAUUGAAUUGAGAAUUUCUAAUACGUACAUUUUAUGCUGUAAAUUUUCCCUUUGGCACUUCUUUAGCUCUGUCCCACAAUUUUUGACAUAUUAUAUUUUUAUUCAGUUCAAUAUAAUAUCAAAUUUCCUUUGAGACUUUCUCUUUGACCCAGGGAUUAUUUAGAAUGUGUUUAGAUUCACAGUAUAAUAGCUUUAUUUUGCUGCUGUAACAAAUUGUCACAAAUUUAACUGCUUAUAACAACAGAAAUUUAUUUUUUCUCAGUUCUGGAGGCCAGGAAUUUAAGCUGAGUGUUAUGUGGCUAAAAUCAAGGUAUCAUCAGGGCUGCUUCCUUCUGUCAGCUCCAGAGAGAAUACGUUCCUUGUUUCUGCCAGCUUCAGAUUUGUCUAAUAUAGAUACUUCCGUGAGCAGCCCAAGCCCCUCUUCACUGACAAGUUCUACCUCACCUUAACCGAGGGCAUUGCUCUUUCAGACAGACCACCUUGCAAAGGACAGCUGCAUACUCAACCUGCCGCUGUUUCUCCUGGAGGCCAACCUGGUGACCUUCCUCUUCCCUCUGGACCGCCUGAGAAGGGCGGCAGAAAAGGAGAUGGUGACAAGAUGCCUCUGCACAACCUCGCCAUGGUUUUGGCCCCAUGAUGCUCUGGCUUUCUAGUCUUCAUUGCUUUGUCUCCAACUCAAGCAUAGUUUUUGUUUGUUUGUUUGUUUGUUUUACUCAUUCUUGAGAGGAAGCCAUUAGCUUUCUUUGGAUGCUUUGUCAUUUAUCUUAUGUGACUACACCAGUUAAUCAAAGGAUCACUUGCUGCUCUUCUUCCACUAAAACAACACCCACUUCAUGCUCAUUGUCUAAAGUGGGGGCAUCAUUUGUAACUACAGAUACUAAUUGUGGGGAUCCCAGGUUUAUUAUGUGGGAGAGACUGAGACUCCCCUCAUCUGUCCCCUGAGGAGGGUUCAUAGGUGAGUGAGAAAGGGACAAGGCAGCGAUGUGGACAUCUCCCCACAUUGCCCAAGGGGCAUUGCUUCCUAGUGAGGAAACUCUCGCUGCAGUUUUCUGGCAGGGAAAUAAUACAAUCUCCAGAUCAUUUAUCAAUUUUGUUUUUUUUAAAUAAAUAUUUUGCCAUUAUUAGAUGAGUAUAUAAAAAAUAAAUAAUAUGGAUUUAUCUUGCAGUGUACCAUUUAACUCCAUCCCAAAAUAGAUCUAUUAUCUUCUCUUUUGUUCAAUGAAUACUAUUCAUACCUAGGCAAAACUGUUGCUGUUACUCAUGAUUUAAGGGCAUUAGGAAUACAACUCUAGGGAAAAAAUACUGCUAUUGGAAACCAAAAAGAGUGUCUGGGACAGGUGUCAAUCUAUUUAGAGGUUUUUUUCACCAAGGUUGAGGAUGCACCCGGGAAAAAGAGACACAAGCCACAGUGGAAUCUGUGGCCUGCACUUUUUCCAAAGAGUUUUGAGGGUUUCAAUAUUUAUAGGGGAAAAAGCAGGCCAAAGGGAAAGGAAAGAAGACAAAAAGGGGAGAGUAGAAAAAAUGAGACAAGUGGUCUCAUUGUCUUGAGGCUUUCAUUAGUUCUCACUGAAGCCACAGGUUGCCCAUGAAAAGGAGGGGGUAGAGGAACAGCUGAUUAUGUGCUCGCCUGGCACUGGUAAGGCUGCACCUCACAUGAGAUAAAGCAAACAUAGAGUAGAGGAAGCAUCAACAUGCAUUUGUCUUGGGGUGGUGGUAGGAAUAUUUCUAGUUUCCUUUUGUCCUGUAUCCCUGAAGAUAAGUUGCUAAUUUACAUGGUCAGGGUGAGGGAGGUAACCUGGAAAGAUAUGUUUAGGAACAAAAGGAAAGAUGGUUUCUGGGUGUGACUCAGUUUCCAAGUUUAACUUUCCCUUUUGGCAUAGCGAGUUUGGGGUCCCAACAUUUUAUUUUCCUUUUACACUAUUGACUACUAACAGUCUUUGUUGUUAAAUUCCAUCUGUUUUAAAAUUUUAAUAAAAUAUUUAUAUCAUAAAAUAUAAAUUAUUCACUUAUAAGAUUAAUAUAAAUAAUAUUAACAAAACAUUGUCUUGAAAAAUGUAGUUUGACAAAGUUUCAAUCUGAGUAAAAGAUAGUAUCUUAAAUACAGUAUUUUUUCACUGCUGGUGAGAGAGAAUCUAAACUUUCUGUGAAGACUAAGAAAGUCUCACAUUCUUGGUGCACGCCAGGAAGCCCCGUGUUCCUUGGAUGUGGAGGAGUUGAACAUGAAGGAGCUGGCUGUGAUGUCAGCAUGUGAAGGUGGAGGAACUCCAGCCCAGGAGGGGCUCCUGGAUCCACCCGCCCCAGAUGGACUCGAGGUGGGGAAGGCAGCCUGGAGGCUUGGGAGGCCUGAGUAGAGAGGAGGGAACAGCGCUCCCUUAAGACCCAGGCCCACUCCCAGGGAAGGGAGCAGCAGGGCCACACUCUUGGCCACCUUGGAAGAGCUCCUUGCUGUGGGCUGAUUCCCACGACCUUGUCUAGGGAUUCCAGCAUUUUAGGUAGCUCCUCCAUUGCCUUCGUUGGUUAGAGCAUUUGGAACUUUUCUUUUUCACUUCUCGAACCAAAGAAGUUAAUUCCUUCAUCGAUACCAAGUUGGCACUCUUCACCUUUUUGUAAGCAUCUGCAAGGCUGGGAAUAUUUAAAGACUCCUUCUUUAGCCAGGCAUUCUCUAGUGCUGCCUCCAUCUCUGCAUACUCCUUUUUCAAAACACCAAGCUUCUAAAUGAAUUGAUUUUUUUCUCACAUUCUGCAGCCUGUGUUUUGUGAGUCACUUUUCAUGUCUUACAUAAAGUCAGCUUCUAACAGAUUCAACAAGUCUGAACAAAAAUAAAAGACCUACCAAGAAGCUGAUGAGACCAGUGUCUCCCCUGAUGGCUUUGGAAAGUGAGUUGUGGACUGAAGCCAUUGGGCAGCAUCUUAUAUAUCACCUCACACAUUUCGUAAAUAUCAGCCCCAAACGAAGUUUCACAGAAGAUCCCGGCCCCUCCAUCCCUGCAACCAUGGAUUCUGCACCACAACAAACCCUGGGGAACACCUCAGCAUUCCACCUGGAAUCAACCAGGAACAGGCAGCCUAUACUAGUCAGUUUCAUGGUCACCAUCAAGGAGGAUUAGUAAAUAAACAUGCUUGUCUCCUUACUGUCUAGUAAUCAGUCUUCUUUACCUGUUUCUUAUUGUAUGUGUAUCAACAGACAAUUAAAAUAUAGUGAAAGGUGCCAAUCUUAAGUGUAUAGCUUGAAUAAGCCUUUAAAAUGUUAUACCCCCACUGCGUCCUGCAACCCUAUCAAGGUAUGAGUCCUGUGUAUCAACACAGAAAUCCCCCCCAGUUCCUUUCCAAUCAGUGUCCACUCGCCCUGACUCACGCAGCCUUGGAGAAGGUUGCUCUGAACACAUCCCAGUUGAGCCUCAGCAUCAAGGUCAUGGAAUCAAUUACAAUGUGCUUUCUGAUCUCUGCCUGCUUUGCUCAAAGUGUUUUUGAAACUUAUCUGUUCU